rnacentral:lncRNA from 1 species
CAUGCAUGCUACUGCGCAAGUCUUUUCCGUGGGCUCUGGGGAUUUAAACUCAGGGCCUCAUGGCACUGACCCAUCUCCUGCGUUUCUGCUUUUGACACGCCAGCUACACUGCUCCAGGAGUCCCGUGAGUUCUCCUCACCACUGGAGCCCCCAAGGUCACACAGUCACAGAUUUUCAUUACUUGCUGAAAAAAACAAUGCGUGCUGUACAUCAUGCCUGUUCCGGACGAGCCCUUCUCCUCCUCGGCGGUACCACCGAGUCAACCUCACACACCUUUCCCAGUCCUGACUAUCCAGCUACUGCAUGCUGUACAGAAAGAAGACUCAGUCAGUCUGUGGCACUGAACAGUGACAACCACAGAAAGUGCAGCCCUCUAAUCACCAUACCACAGUCACAAGGAUGUAUAGUUAGAGGCAUCCUAGAAUCGCAAAUGCUGAGGUCAGCCAGAGGGAAUUUCUGAACAGAGAAUAUACACGGCUGUAAAGAUUCUCACAGCCCAAGACCCUGACACUUACGGUUGUACCACGUGAUGUCAGGACUCCACUCACUCCAGGUGCCCAGCUGUGAUUACAGGCAUGGGCCACUAUACCCAGCUCAACUCUACGCCUAUCUAUGCACUUACAACGGUCACCAUGAACAACACACAAUAGCAAAUGU